rnacentral:tRNA from 1 species
GCUGUUGUAGCUCAACCGGUAGAGCGCCUGCCCUGUAAGCAGGAUGUUGCGGGUUCAAGUCCUGCCAGCAGCACCA